UACGAAGGGUGCAAGCGUUGUUCGGAUUUAUUGGGCGUAAAGCGCGCGUAGGCGGAUGGAUAAGUCAGAUGUGAAAUCCCGGGGCUCAACCUCGGAACUGCGUCUGAAACUGUUCAUCUAGAAUCUCGGAGGGGGAAGGGGAAUUUCGCAUGUAGGGGUAAAAUCCGUAGAGAUGCGAAGGAACACCAGAGGCGAAGGCGCCUUCCUGGACGAGUAUUGACGCUGAGGUGCGAAAGCGUGGGGAGCAAACAGG
rnacentral:rRNA from 1 species